GUCCAUAACUAACCUUCUACUUCUUAUUGUACCUAUCCUAAUCGCCAUGGCAUUCUUCAUGCUAACUGAAUGAAAAAUCCUAGGCUACAUGCAACUACGCAAAGGGCCCAAUAUUGUAGGCCCCUAUGGACUAUUACAACCUUUUGCCGAUGCCAUAAAACUCUUUACCAAAGAAUCCUUAAAACCCUCAACGUCAACUGUUACCCUCUACAUCACUGCCCCAACCUUAGCCCUCUCUAUUGCCCUUCUACUAUGAACUCCCCUCCCUAUACCUAACCCCCUAGUUAAUCUUAACUUAGGCCUUCUAUUCAUUCUGGCUACAUCCAGCCUAGCUGUCUACUCUAUCCUAUGAUCAGGAUGAGCAUCAAACUCAAACUAUGCCCUGAUCGGCGCAUUAUGAGCAGUUGCCCAAACAAUUUCAUACGAAGUUACCCUAGCUAUCAUCCUAUUAUCGAUCCUACUAAUAAGUGGCCAAUUCAAUCUCUGCACCCUCAUUAGAACACAAGAACACCUCUGACUACUCCUAACAUCAUGACCCCUAGCUAUAAUAUGAUUUAUUUCCACACUAGCAGAAACCAAUCGAGCUGCUUUUGACCUUACUGAAGGAGAAUCAGAACUAGUCUCAGGCUUCAACAUUGAAUAUGCUGCAGGCCCAUUCGCCCUAUUCUUUAUAGCCGAAUACAUAAAUAUCAUUAAAAUAAAUGCCCUAACUGCCAUAAUCUUCCUAGGUACAAUAUAUAAUAUUCACCUACCAGAACUCUACACAAUAUGCUUCACCAUUAAAACCCUAUUCCUAACCUCUCUAUUUUUAUGAAUCCGAACAGCAUACCCCCGAUUCCACUACGAUCAACUCAUGUAUCUCUUAUGAAAAAAUUUCUUACCAUUUACACUAGCACUACUUAUAUGAUACAUCUCAAUAUCCGCUACAAUUUCCAACAUUCCCCCCUAA
rnacentral:lncRNA from 1 species